GCCUCUUUAGCUUAGUGGUAGAGCGUUGCACUCGUAUAUCGACAUGCAAAGGUCACCGGUUCAACUCCGGUAGGAGGCA